rnacentral:rRNA from 1 species
UGAUCUGGGGCCGAGGAAUGUGGUGUUUGGGAGGACCAUGACCGCCUGUCCGGCUUUCGUCCAAGUCUCCAUGAACGGGGCGAGCAACCCAGAGAGGGUGUCAGGCCCGUGGUAUUGGCGAGUCGCGACCGUGGUAGAGGUCUCUCCUUGGAGUCGGGUUGCUUGAGAGUGCAGCUCUAAGCGGGAGGUAAACUCCUUCUAAGGCUAAAUACGGCCACGAGACCGAUAGCGAACAAGUACCGCGAGGGAAAGUUGAAAAGAACUUUGAAGAGAGAGUUCAAGAGUGCGUGAAACCGUUCGGAGGGUAAAACGGGUGGGCGCUCGAAGAUCGAACGAUCCUUACUCCCGCCAUCUGCACGCCAGUCUCCCGCAGAUCCAUCAAGUGUGCCCACGCCUUCACGGGCGCGAGUUUGC